CCUACGGGAGGCUGCAGUGGGGAAUAUUGCACAAUGGGGGAAACCCUGAUGCAGCGACGCCGCGUGAGCGAUGAAGUAUUCCGGUAUGUAAAGCUCUAUCAGCAGGGAAGAAAAUGACGGUACCUGACUAAGAAGCCCCGGCUAACUACGUGCCAGCAGCCGCGGUAAUACGUAGGGGGCAAGCGUUAUCCGGAUUUACUGGGUGGAAAGGGAGCGUAGACGGCUGUGCAAGCCAGAUGUGAAAGCCCGGGGCUCAACCCCGGGACUGCAUUUGGAACUGUGUGGCUGGAGUGUCGGAGAGGCAGGCGGAAUUCCUAGUGUAGCGGUGAAAUGCGUAGAUAUUAGGAGGAACACCAGUGGCGAAGGCGGCCUGCUGGACGAUGACUGACGUUGAGGCUCGAAAGCGUGGGUAGCAAACAGGAUUAGAUACCCCUGUAGUC
rnacentral:rRNA from 1 species